rnacentral:rRNA from 1 species
CCUACGGGAGGCAGCAGUGGGGAAUUUUGGACAAUGGGCGCAAGCCUGAUCCAGCAAUGCCGCGUGAGUGAAGAAGGCCUUCGGGUUGUAAAGCUCUUUUGUCAGGGAAGAAACGGUGGGAGCUAAUAUCUCCUACUAAUGACGGUACCUGAAGAAUAAGCACCGGCUAACUACGUGCCAGCAGCCGCGGUAAUACGUAGGGUGCAAGCGUUAAUCGGAAUUACUGGGCGUAAAGCGUGCGCAGGCGGUUUUGUAAGUCUGUCGUGAAAGCCCCGGGCUCAACCUGGGAAUUGCGAUGGAGACUGCAAGGCUUGAAUCUGGCAGAGGGGGGUAGAAUUCCACGUGUAGCAGUGAAAUGCGUAGAGAUGUGGAGGAACACCGAUGGCGAAGGCAGCCCCCUGGGUCAAGAUUGACGCUCAUGCACGAAAGCGUGGGGAGCAAACAGGAUUAGAUACCCUGGUAGUCCACGCCCUAAACGAUGUCUACUAGUUGUCGGGUUUUAAUUAACGUUGGUAACGCAGCUAACGCGUGAAGUAGACCGCCGUGGGGAGUACGGUCGCAAGAUUAAAACNCAAAGGAUUGACGGNNGAGAGNGCGACGACGACGACGAGGAGGAGG